UACGAAGGGGGCUAGCGUUGCUCGGAAUUACUGGGCGUAAAGCGUGCGCAGGCGGUUUUGUAAGCCAGAUGUGAAAUCCCCGGGCUUAACCUGGGAAUGGCAUUUGGGACUGCAAGGCUCGAGUGCGGCAGAGGAGACUGGAAUUCCUGGUGUAGCAGUGAAAUGCGUAGAUAUCAGGAGGAACACCGAUGGCGAAGGCAGGUCUCUGGGCUGACACUGACGCUCAUGCACGAAAGCGUGGGGAGCAAACAGG
rnacentral:rRNA from 1 species